AAUAGAUACCCUGGUAGUCCACCCCGUAAACGUUGGGAACUAGUUGUGGGGUCCUUUCCACGGAUUCCGUGACGCAGCUAACGCAUUAAGUUCCCCGCCUGGGGGAGUACGGCCGCAAGGCUAAAACUCAAAGGAAUUGACGGGGGACCCGCACAAGCGGCGGAGCAUGCGGAUUUAAUUCGAUGCAACGCGAAGAACCUUACCAAGGCUUGACAUACACCGGAAACGGCCAGAGAUGGUCGCCCCGCAAGGUCGGUGUACAGGUGGUGCAUGGUUGUCGUCAGCUCGUGUCGUGAGAUGUUGGGUUAAGUCCCGCAACGAGCGCAACCCUCGUUCUAUGUUGCCAGCACGUAAUGGUGGGAACUCAUGGGAUACUGCCGGGGUCAACUCGGAGGAAGGUGGGGAUGACGUCAAAUCAUCAUGCCCCUUAUGUCUUGGGCUUCACGCAUGCUACAAUGGCCGGUACAAAGGGCUGCAAUACCGUGAGGUGGAGCGAAUCCCAAAAAGCCGGUCCCAGUUCGGAUUGAGGUCUGCAACUCGACCUCA
rnacentral:rRNA from 1 species